rnacentral:lncRNA from 1 species
ACAAAGGCCUAUAAUUAGCACUGCAUCGUUGACCUGGCGCUACAUCGCUGGAAAUGUACUACGGGGAGGUGCCGCAGUGCCGAAAUACAGUUCCAGGCAGACAGUGUUCGCGAAGAACACAGAACGAAGCCAAAUUAGCCUACAAACUACUUUCUAACAACCAAUUUAACAUAUUUGAAUUACAUAAACCUCACAGAAACAUAACUUAAGGUUUCUAAAAUGUUUUUAAUCAUUUAAACAACAUAACCAUCAACAUUAAAACCCCUAAAUUCAUCGUUUUUACCACUUCUUUAAUUUUUGACAUUCUUAGUGAAAUUAAUCACUGUAAAUUCGUUUUUCA